UAUAAAAGAGCUAUCCUUGUUAGCUAACUUCAUCGUUGAGGAGACAACCAUUUCAUACAACAGAUGGUAUACUCCAGAGGGAUGGCACUGAGAACACAGGUGUUUUGGCUACCUAAUUAGCAAUGCACUUGUGUUCUCAGGUCACCCCUUUGGAGCACCCGUUGCGUGACAUCACGUCAAAUAUCAGAAAUUCACCUAUGAUCCUCAUCAGAGUCCGAUUUGCAUAGUCAACAUUUCUUUUUAUAUAUAUAUAUAUAUAUUCCUCGCUAGGAAAAUGGAGUAUGAUGUAAUAUUAAACUAGUUUAAAAUUAAAAUAUAUUAAAUGUUAUUUUAAAUUAAAUUUAAUAUAUUUAAAUUAUUAUUUUUAUGUGAUUUUGAAAUUUUCAAAUAUUAUUACAGUGAGAAUUAAUUGUGUUGGAGAUUUUUUUUUUUAGCAGAAGAUUAUAGAAUGGGAAUCAAAUCUGAAUCUGUAUGAAUAAUAUGCAUUCAGCCGGCAAAGCCCUUUCAUCGGAACACCUCUCAAAAGCUCUCUCUCUCCAAAACGACGAUGGCCGCUCCCUCCUUCGCGUCGCUGCCUCUUUGGAAUACUAUCAGAUGUGGAUGAAUUGAAAAGUUCAAUAAACAACAAGGAUGAGGCAGGUUGGGCACCACUUCAUUCUGCAGCCAGUUUUGGGAAUCUAAAAAUUGUAGAGAUUCUGUUAAGUGGAGGUAAAGAAUUUAUUGCUGGAGCUGAUUUUAAUUCAAGAAAAUGAUGGUGGUCGCACUACCCUUCACUAUGCUUCCAGCGAGGGAUGGUUCAAGAAGAUUAAUCUGAAGGACAAAGCUUGUUGGUUAUACCCCAUUGCAUCCUGCAGUUAGUACAGGGAAGUCAGAGUUGUGUGAAUUUUUAAUUGAGAAAGGAGCUGAGAUUGAUGCUAUUGAUAGAACUUGUCAGACUUCUCUAAUGAUUGCUGUCAUUUGCUGAAAACAAAGAGUUAAAUUUGCUAAAAAUUACUUGGGAUUCAUUUUUUGGUUGGGCAACCACCCAUGGCCCUUGAGUGAAUUUUACCUCUCACCAUUAUGUGAUUUGUGUAUAUCCUUUUGGCUUCCAUAAUUUAGAUUAGGCUUUGUUGGGUAUAUUUUGUGUCUGCUGUGUCUUCAUUGUAUUACUGAUUUGUUUCUCAUUAGAUUGUAGUAAAUUGUAAACUUUGUAAUUAAGAAGUGAUGGUGAAGGAAAUUAACUUAGGUAGAAUAAACUUCAGUUAAUCCAUAUUUGAUAUUAGUUUUAGCCUUUCUGAGCCUCCACUUAACAUUAUCCUUCCUAGAGAUAAGAAUGGUUCUGCCUCCAUUUUAAAUUACUAGUCAUUUGUCAUGUGUUUUGAGCGUGAUUGUGUAACUGGCUAUGUCAGGAGAUUAGAUUGAAUGUAUCAAUAAAAAAUGCAUUAAAUAAGAAUCUAUACAAAAAGGAAAAUGUUAACGCCUAGUGAAAAAUAAAUUCAAUUUCAUCCAAAACCCUUCCCUAUCCAAUUAUUGGUGAUAUCAUUUUGAAUUCCAUUUUUUUAAAGAAGUAACCACUGCAAAUCAUGCCAAAUCCAGGUGCACUUAGGUCAUUCAAGUAUUUUUUUUUUUUUUAAAUAAAGAGAUAGGUAGCAAAAUCUUCAUCUAUAAGAAUAUGAUUAAUAUGAUUGAAAAUGGGAAACUGAGGUUGGGAGCAACAUUAGGCACACUUGUCCCAACAAUGCUGUGAAUCAGUGUUGUUAAAAGUGAGAAAAGGGGCAAAGCAAGGCGAAGCGAGGCGAGGCGAGGCAAGGCAAGGCAAGGCGACCCUCUAGCGCCUCACUUCGCACUGCCUUGCCUUGCUUUCAAGAGGCGAGUGCCUAGGAGGAAGAGGUGAUGUGCGUGAGGCGAGGGAGGCGACGCCUCUUGCAAUUAACGUCUACUUUUUUAUUUUAAUUGUUUUUUAUGGAAUAAAAAUU